rnacentral:rRNA from 1 species
AUUGAACGCUGGCGGCAGGCCUAACACAUGCAAGUCGAGCGAGCGGCGGAAGGGUGAGUAAUAUAUGUGGAUCAGCCCGAUAGAGGGGGAUAACUCCUGGAAACGUUGGCUCAAACCCCAUACUCUCGGAGGAACCCAUAUGGGAUUAGCUAGUGGGUAAGGUAAGGGCUUACCAAGUCGACGAUCCCUAGCUGGUCUGAGAGGAUGUUCAGCCACACUGGGACUGAGACACGGCCCAGACUCCUACGGGAGGCAGCAGUGGGGAAUAUUGCACAAUGGGCGCAAGCCUGAUGCAGCCAUGCCGCGUGUAUGAAGAAGGCCCUAGGGUUGUAAAGUACUUUCAGUCGGGAGGCGUUACCGGCGGAAGAAGCACCGGCUAACUCCGUGCCAGCAGCCGCGGUAAUAC